rnacentral:rRNA from 1 species
CGAUUCCAGCUCCAAUAGCGUAUAUUAAAGUUGUUGCAGUUAAAAAGCUCGUAGUUGGAUUUUGAAGUUUACAUAUUGUGACCCACCUUGUAUUAGGUGUGUUUUGUUGUGAUAUGUACUUCUCCUUACUAGAUUUUCACUAUUACACUUUAUUGAGUGAUAGUUUCAUUUUAAUUUAUUAGAAUGAGUGAUAGACAGACCUAUUGGGUUUGAGAUUGUGGAGGUUCUUUUUCGAAAGUUCGUUCUGCUUAGAUUCAGUAACUGUUUAUUAGAAAUCUAGUUCAUUUACUUUGAGUAAAUUAGAGUGUUCAAGGCAAGCAAAAUAUUAAUUUUCUGCAAUGAAUACUAUUAGCAUGGGAUAAUGGAACAGGACAUGUAUUCUAGUUUUCCGUUGGUUUCUAGAAUUUUUUAAAGUCUUUCUUUUUUUGAGAAAGAUGAAGUGUAAUGAUUAAAAGGGACAGUUGGGGGCAUUCGUAUUUCAUUGUCAGAGGUGAAAUUCUUGGAUUUAUGAAAGACGAACUUCUGCGAAAGCAUUUGCCAAAGAUGUUUUCAUUAAUCAAGAACGAAAGUUAGGGGAUCGAAGACGAUCAGAUACCGUCGUAGUCUUAACCAUAAACUAUGCCGACCAGGGAUUGGAAGAUGUCUUAUCCAAUGUAAUAGUUGGAAAACUCCUUCAGUACCUUACGAGAAAUCAUAAGUCUUUGGGUUCUGGGGGGAGUAUGGUCGCAAGGCUGAAACUUAAAGGAAUUGACGGAAGGGCACCACCAGGAGUGGAGCCUGCGGCUUAAUUCGACUCAAC